rnacentral:rRNA from 1 species
CCUACGGGUGGCAGCAGUGGGGAAUAUUGCACAAUGGGCGAAACCCUGAUGCAGCGACGCCGCGUGAGGGAAGAAGGAUUUCGGUAUGUAAAGCUCUAUCAGCAGGGAAGAAAAGGAUGGUACUAGAUUAAGAAGCCGCGUCUAACUACGUGCAAGCAGCCGCGGUAAUACGGAGGGGGCAAGGGUUAUCCGGAUUUAUUGGGUUUAAAGGGGGCGGAGUCGGUAGCAAAAGUCGGCAGUGAAAUGCCGGGGCUUAACCCCGGAACUGCCUUUGAAACUGGGCGGCUAGAGUGCGGGGGAGGUAGGUGGAAUGCGUGGUGUAGCGGUGAAAUGCGUAGAUAUCACGAAGAACACCGAUGGCGAAGGCAGCUUACUGGGCCGUAACUGACGCUGAGGCACGAAAGCGUGGGGAGCAAACAGGAUUAGAUACCCUAGUAGUC